UGGGAGGAUACUGAAAACCCACCAAUCUUGCCUCCAUUAUAUACAAGGCAACCCGGAAGACCAAGGAAGAAGAGAAACAAAGAAGCUACUUAAUUGGAGAAAGAUGGUGAACAAACUCCCACCAACCCACCAAAUAAUCCUGAAGGUCCUCCUAAGCCACUUAAGCUUGGAAAGAAAGGGCAAGGUCCUUUGAAGUGCACUAUAUGCAAGUAAGAAAGACAUAAUUCAAGGACCCAUCAUCCACAUCUUCCUCCAAGGGACAAACAGGCAUCCACAUUAGCACAAGGGAGAGCAUCAUCAUCAGCCGAAGCUGCACUUAAAAAGAGGACAAGGAAAUCUAAGGCAUCACAAAUAGGGGAUGGUUCAUAUGCAAAUCCUGAAGCUCAUUCACCGAGAUCCACUAAGCAGAGAAAGACAAGGCAAACCAAGACCUAAAGAUGCUACAAAUUGUAACAAAUUACUAUUUUUUAGUUCAUGUUUUAUGUGCAAUAGGAACUGAAAUUAUGGUACAUGGGUUCUGGAAUUAGACAUCACAAACAUUGAAUUUCUUUUGGUUUUUUGAACUGAUUUGGAACCCUAAAAAUGCACUGUUUUGCUAGAUGGAUUUGACAGUAGGUUUUUUGAAUCAGUGCACUGUACAUUUUGGGAUAUACAAGGAUGUCAAAUGGAUAUCUUUGUAAAUGUUGGAUGGAUUAAAUGUUUGAAGUGGACUUUGUGUUCAUCUUU